UAAUACGGAGGAUCCAAGCGUUAUCCGGAAUCAUUGGGUUUAAAGGGUCCGUAGGCGGGUUUGUAAGUCAGAGGUGAAAUCUUGCAGCUCAACUGUAAAAUUGCCUUUGAUACUGGUAGACUUGAGUCAUUGUGAAGUGGUUAGAAUGUGUGGUGUAGCGGUGAAAUGCAUAGAUAUCACACAGAAUACCAAUUGCGAAGGCAGAUCACUAACAAUGUACUGACGCUCAUGGACGAAAGCGUGGGGAGCGAACAGGAUUAGAUACCCUGGUAGUCCACGCCGUAAACGAUGGAUACUAACUGUUCGACCUUCGGGUUGAGUGGUUAAGCGAAAGUGAUAAGUAUCCCACCUGGGGAGUACGCUCGCAAGAGUG
rnacentral:rRNA from 1 species